rnacentral:rRNA from 1 species
GUACACUCCUGCGGGAGGCAGCAGUGGGGAAUUUUGGACAAUGGGCGAAAGCCUGAUCCAGCAAUGCCGCGUGUGUGAAGAAGGCCUUCGGGUUGUAAAGCACUUUUGUCCGGAAAGAAAUCCUUGGCUCUAAUACAGUCGGGGGAUGACGGUACCGGAAGAAUAAGCACCGGCUAACUACGUGCCAGCAGCCGCGGUAAUACGUAGGGUGCGAGCGUUAAUCGGAAUUACUGGGCGUAAAGCGUGCGCAGGCGGUUUGCUAAGACCGAUGUGAAAUCCCCGGGCUCAACCUGGGAACUGCAUUGGUGACGGGCAGGCUAGAGUAUGGCAGAGGGGGGUAGAAUUCCACGUGUAGCAGUGAAAUGCGUAGAGAUGUGGAGGAAUACCGAUGGCGAAGGCAGCCCCCUGGGCCAAUACUGACGCACAUGCACGAAAGCGUGGGGAGCAAACAGGAUUAGAAACCCCAGUAGUCCA